rnacentral:rRNA from 1 species
GACGAACGCUGGCGGCGGGCUUAACACAUGCAAGUCGAACGGAAAGGCCCUGCUUUUUUGGGGUGCUCGAGGGGCGAACGGGUGAGUAACACGUGAGUAACCUGCCCUGGACGUGGGGAUAACUUCAGGAGACUGGGGCUAAUACCGGAUAGGAGCGCCUGCUGCAUGGUGGGGGUUGGAAAGUUUCGGCGGAUGGGGGUGUACGUAGGGCUUAUCAGCUUGUGGGUGGGGUAAAGGCUUACGAAGGCGUUGACGCGUAGCCUGCCUGAGAGGAUGACCAGUCGCACUGGAACGGAGACACGCUCCAGACGCCUACGGGAAGCACCAGUGGGGAAUAUGGGACAAGGGGCGGGAGCCUGAGCCAGCCGGGCCGCGUGUGUGAAGAAGGUCGUCGGAUGGUAAAGCACGUUAAGUUGGGAGGAAGGGCAGUAAGUUAAUACCGUGCUGUUUUGACGUUACCAGCAGAAUAAGCACCGGCUAACUUCGUG